rnacentral:rRNA from 1 species
GACGAACGCUGGCGGCGUGCCUAAUACAUGCAAGUCGAGCGAAUCAUUAGGAGCUUGCUCCUGAAGGUUAGCGGCGGACGGGUGAGUAACACGUGGGCAACCUGCCUGUAAGACUGGGAUAACACCGGGAAACCGGUGCUAAUACCGGAUAAUUCUUUUUCUCACAUGAGGGAAAGCUGAAAGUCGGUUUCGGCUGACACUUACAGAUGGGCCCGCGGCGCAUUAGCUAGUUGGUGAGGUAACGGCUCACCAAGGCGACGAUGCGUAGCCGACCUGAGAGGGUGAUCGGCCACACUGGGACUGAGACACGGCCCAGACUCCUACGGGAGGCAGCAGUAGGGAAUCUUCCGCAAUGGACGAAAGUCUGACGGAGCAACGCCGCGUGAGUGAUGAAGGCCUUCGGGUCGUAAAACUCUGUUGUUAGGGAAGAACAAGUAUCGGAGUAACUGCCGGUACCUUGACGGUACCUAACCAGAAAGCCACGGCUAACUACGUGCCAGCCGCCGCGGUAACAC